UACAGAGGGUGCAAGCGUUGUUCGGAAUUAUUGGGCGUAAAGAGCUCGUAGGCGGCUCGUCGCGUCGGCUGUGAAAACCUGGGGCUCAACCCCGGGCCUGCAGCCGAUACGGGCGAGCUAGAAUUCGGUAGGGAAGACUGGAAUUCCUGGUGUAGCGGUGAAAUGCGCAGAUAUCAGGAGGAACACCGGUGGCGAAGGCGGGUCUCUGGGCCGAUAUUGACGCUGAGGAGCGAAAGCGUGGGGAGCGAACAGG
rnacentral:rRNA from 1 species